GACGAACGCUGGCGGCGUGCUUAACACAUGCAAGUCGAACGGAAAGGCCCUGCUUUUGUGGGGUGCUCGAGUGUCGAACGUGUGAGUAACACGUGAGUAACCUGCCCUUGACUUUGGGAUAACUUCAGUAAACUGGGGCUAAUACCGGAUAGGAGCUCCUGCUGCAUGGUGGGGGUUGGAAAGUUUCGGCGGUUGGGGAUGGACUCGCGGCUUAUCAGCUUGUUGGUGGGGUAGUGGCUUACCAAGGCUUUGACGGGUAGCCGGCCUGAGAGGGUGACCGGCCACAUUGGGACUGAGAUAAGGCCCAGAAUACUCCGGGAGGAAGCAGUGGGGAAUAUUGCACAAUGGGCGGAAGACUGAUGAAGCAACGCCGCGUGCGGGAUGACGGACUCCGGGUUGUAAACAGCUUUCGCCUGUGACGAAGCGUGAGUGACGGUAAUGGGUAAAGAAGCACCGGCUAACUACGUG
rnacentral:rRNA from 1 species